UUUUAAGGGUCAUCAAGCUAUUCAAUUGCGAUAGAGAUUAAAGGGUAUUGAAUCCCAUUAUAUAUAUUCUGUAUUAAUUUGACGUCCAAAUAAGAGAGUGGGAGCUGAAUAUGAUGGCUAUGAAAUGUAUCAAAAAACUUAUGUUGGUAAUGAUGGAGCUGGUUAUCUUCAUAAUAAUUGAAUUGCAUGGCAGUGACCCAAUCCAUUUCUCUCACAAUCCAGCUCCAGUUCCUACUAGCCUUCAUGCCUUCCAAAAUGAUGAUACUUACAAUCAACUUUGCCUUGAAAGCACAGUUGAAAAGUGUGAAAAAAUACAAAAAUUAAUUGAUUUGGAGAAUUGUGUUGUUCGUAAUCUUUUUUCUUGCCUUUUCAAGCAUCCAAUACAUGUUCCUCUAAAAGUGCGUUUCACCAUUCCGCGAAAAUGCAUUUUGGAAUGUUUUAGGCGGCUUAGAGGCAUCCGUGGUGCACAAUGUUUGUUAGACUGCUAUGAACGGGAAAUGAACAAGCAUUAAACAUCUAUAUCUUUGAUGAGCUCCGAGGAUGGUAAAAGAUUACCUAAAAGGGAAGAUAGGUGCGGAGUGAGAAUUAAUAACCUUUAAUUUACAUCAUAUUCAUCAUAGAUGGAAUGGUCGUUGGGGUGCUCAAUGUGUCUUUAGAGACUUGGCUUAAUAAGUUUCUUUUCAUGUUAUAUAAGUAGCGGUUUUGUGCAUUGUACGUUUGUCGAAAAUGUACCAAUUUACUAUGAACUUCCUUUAAGUAAUAUGGUUUAGUGAAGUACUUCAA